UGGGGAAUAUUGGACAAUGGGCGAAAGCCUGAUCCAGCCAUGCCGCGUGUGUGAAGAAGGCCUUUUGGUUGUAAAGCACUUUAAGCGAGGAGGAGGCUACUAGUACUAAUACUACUGGAUAGUGGACGUUACUCGCAGAAUAAGCACCGGCUAACUCUGUGCCAGCAGCCGCGGUAAUACAGAGGGUGCGAGCGUUAAUCGGAUUUACUGGGCGUAAAGCGUGCGUAGGCGGCUGAUUAAGUCGGAUGUGAAAUCCCUGAGCUUAACUUGGGAAUUGCAUUCGAUACUGGUUAGCUAGAGUGUGGGAGAGGAUGGUAGAAUUCCAGGUGUAGCGGUGAAAUGCGUAGAGAUCUGGAGGAAUACCGAUGGCGAAGGCAGCCAUCUGGCCUAACACUGACGCUGAGGUACGAAAGCAUGGGGAGCAAACAGG
rnacentral:rRNA from 1 species